rnacentral:misc_RNA from 1 species
GAUGAAGAACGUAGCGAAAUGCGAUACUUGGUGUGAAUUGCAGAAUCCCGUGAACCAUUGAGUCUUUGAACGCAAGUUGCGCCCGAAGCCAUUAGGCCGAGGGCACGCCUGCCUGGGCGUCACACGUCGUUGCCCCCCCAUCUACUCCUUCGGGAUUGCGGGGGGCGGAUGAUGGCCUCCCGUGCGCCUCGUCGCGCGGUUGGCCUAAAUGCCAAGUCCUCGGCGACGCACGCCACGACAAUCGGUGGUUGCGAAACCUCGGUUGCCUGUCGUGUGCGGUCGUCGCGCAUCGAGGGCUCGAAAAAAUUGCCGGGCUUCGGCUCGACUUUCAACGCGACCCCAGGUCAGGCGGGGUUACCCGCUGAAUUUAAGCAUAUCAAUAAGCGGAGGA